CUCGUAGGCGGCCAACUAAGUCAGACGUGAAAUCCCUCGGCUUAACCGGGGAACUGCAUCUGAUACUGGAUGGCUUGAGUUCGGGAGAGGGAUGUGGAAUUCCAGGUGUAGCGGUGAAAUGCGUAGAUAUCUGGAGGAACACCGGUGGCGAAGGCGGCAUCCUGGACCGACACUGACGCUGAGGAGCGAAAGCCAGGGAGCAAAC
rnacentral:rRNA from 1 species